UGGCAUAGUGGUAAAGUGCAUGGCUGCUAACCAAAAGGUCGGCAGUUCAAAUCUGCC
rfam:Loxodonta africana unplaced genomic scaffold scaffold_66, whole genome shotgun sequence.